rnacentral:rRNA from 1 species
CCAGACUCCUACGGGAGGCAGCAGUGGGGAAUCUUCCGCAAUGGGCGAAAGCCUGACGGAGCAACGCCGCGUGAUCGAAUGAAGGCCUUCGGGUUGUAAAGAUCUGUUGACAGGGACGAAUAAGCAAUGCGAAUAGUUUUGUGUAUGACGGUACCUGUUUAGAAAGCUCCGGCUAACUACGUGCCAGCAGCCGCGGUAAUACGUAGGGAGCAAGCGUUGUCCGGAAUUACUGGGCGUAAAGGGCGCGUAGGUGGGCGCUUAAGUCAGGUGUGAAAACUCCGGGCUCAACCUGGAGACUGCACUUGAAACUGGGUGUCUUGAGGGCAGGAGAGGAAAGUGGAAUUCCUAGUGUAGCGGUGAAAUGCGUAGAUAUCUGGAGGAACAUCAGUGGCGAAGGCGACCACCUGGACCGGUAUUGACGCUGAGGCGCGAAAGCGUGGGGAGCAAACAGGAUUAGAUACCCUUGUA